GGAUCGCUAUGUUCAGGAGCAAAUUCCUGGUGCCAAGGUUGUGGUGGAGUCCAUUGGUGCUCGCAGGCAUGGUGAUGCCUUUUCUCUAGAAGAUUAUACCAAGUGUGACUUGACUGUCUAUGCAAUAGACCCCCAAACCAACAGAGCCAUUGACAGAAAUGAGCUUUUUAAAUUUUUAGAUGGCAAACUGCUUGAUAUCAAUAAAGACUUUCAGCCAUAUUAUGGGGAAGGAGGACGCAUUCUGGAGAUCCGGACUCCGGAGGCAGUGACCAGCAUUAAAAAGCGAGGAGAAAGUCUCGGCUAUACCGAAGGGGCCCUGCUGGCUCUGGCCUUCAUCAUCAUUGUCUGCUGUAUUCCUGCCAUCUUGGUGGUUUUGGUCAGCUACAGACAGUUUAAAGUACGCCAAGCUGAGUGCACCAAGACAGCUCGAAUCCAGUCCGCCCUGCCUGCGGCCAAACCAGCAGCGCCUGCCCCGACGCCGGU